GGGUUUGUAGCUCAGAUGGUUAGAGCGUUGCUCUGAUAAAGCAAAGGUCGGCGGUUCAAUUCCGCCCAGACCCACCA
rnacentral:tRNA from 1 species